ACGGCGAGUGAAGCGGCAAAAGCUCAAAUUUGAAAUCGGCCCCCAGGUCGAGUUGUAAUUUGUAGAUUGUAUCUUGAGAGCGGAUUAAAGUCUGUUGGAACACAGCGCCUUAGAGGGUGACAGCCCCGUAAAAUCUAUUCUCAUUGUAAGAUACUUUCGAAGAGUCGAGUUGUUUGGGAAUGCAGCUCUAAGUGGGAGGUAAAUUCCUUCUAAAGCUAAAUAUUGACGAGAGACCGAUAGCGAACAAGUACUGUGA
rnacentral:rRNA from 1 species